CUCCGUGCCAGCAGCCGCGGUAAUACGGGGGAUGCAAGCGUUAUCCGGAAUCAUUGGGCGUAAAGCGCCUGUAGGUUGUUUAAUAAGUCUGUUGUUAAAGACUGGGGCUUAACCCCAGGAAAGCAAUGGAAACUACUAGACUAGAGUAUGGUAGGGGUAAAGGGAAUUUCUAGUGUAGCGGUGAAAUGCGUAGAUAUUAGAAAGAACACCGGUGGCGAAAGCGCUUUACUGGACCAUUACUGACACUCAGAGGCGAAAGCUAGGGUAGCCAAAGGGAUUAGAUACCCCUGUAGUCCUAGCCGUAAACGAUGGAUACUAGAUGUUGCGCUUAUUGUGCAGUGUCGUAGCUAACGCGUUAAGUAUCCCGCCUGGGGAGUACGAUCGCAAGGUUGAAACUCAAAGGAAUUGACGGGGGCCCGCACAAGCGGUGGAGCAUGUGGUUUAAUUCGAUGCAACGCGAAGAACCUUACCAGGGCUUGACAUACUGCAAAUUUUCUUGAAAGAGAAAAGUGCCUUCGGGAAUGCAGAUACAGGUGGUGCAUGGCUGUCGUCAGCUCGUGUCGUGAGAUGUUGGGUUAAGUCCCGCAACGAGCGCAACCCUCGUUUUUAGUUGCCAUUUUAUGGGUUCUCUAGAAAGACUGCCGGUGACAAACCGGAGGAAGGUGGGGAUGACGUCAAGUCAGCAUGCCCCUUAUGCCCUGGGCUACACACGUGCUACAAUGGCUAAGACAAAGAGUCGCGAAUUCGCGAGAAUCAGCUAAUCUCAUAAACUUAGUCUAAGUUCAGAUUGUAG
rnacentral:rRNA from 1 species